rnacentral:rRNA from 1 species
CCUACGGGUGGCAGCAGUGGGGAAUAUUGCACAAUGGGGGAAACCCUGAUGCAGCGACGCCGCGUGAGUGAAGAAGUAUCUCGGUAUGUUAAGCUCUAUCAGCAGGGAAGAAAAUGACGGUACCUGUCCAUGAAGCUCCGUCUAACUACGUGCCAGCAGCUGUGGUAACACGUCGGGGGCAAGCGUUAUCCGGAUUUACCGGGUGUAAAGGGAGCGUAGACGGCGCGGCAAGUCUGAAGUGAAAGGCAGGGGCUUAACCCCUGAACUGCUUUGGAAACUGGCAUGCUAGAGUGCUGGAGAGGUAAGUGGAAUUCCUGGUGUAGCGGUGAAAUGCGUAGAUAUUAGGAGGAACACCAGUGGCGAAGGCGGCUUACUGGACAGUAACUGACGUUGAGGCUCGAAAGCGUGGGGAGCAAACAGGAUUAGAUACCCUAGUAGUC